ensembl:lincRNA
GCAGACAUGCACACACUGACCAAACUGAAGGUACUGCACGCACACACACACACACACGCACAAACACACACAAACAUACACACACACACACACACACAAACAAACACACACACACACACACACACACACACACGCACGCACACACACACGCACGCACACACACACGCACACACACGCGCACACACACACGCACACACACAUACACACACACACACACACACACACACAGAAAAGUGUUAUUUUGUGUAUUUCCUGAAUCUGUAUAGUUUUGUUACAUUAAUGGUGGAUUAUGAAGUGUGUGUGUGUGUGUGUGUUUACUCUGACCUGCGGUGGGCUAAUGCAUGCCUGAUGUAUUGGUGUGUGUGUGUGUGUGUGUGUGUGUAGAGCCACAUGAAGGCGUGCUGUCAGCCGCUGCACGAGGACACGUUCGGGGGGAAUCUGAAGGUGGGUCUGGCUCAGGUCGCGGCGAUGGAGAUCAGCAAGGGAAACCACCGAGACAACAAAGCUGUGAUCCGCUACCUGCCCUGGCUAUACCACCCGCCCUCAGCCAUGCAGCAGGGACCCAAAGAGUUCAUCGAGUGUGUGUCGCACAUCCGUCAGCUGUCGUGGCUGCUGCUGGGUUCUCUUACCCACACUGCACUGCAGCAGGGCUCCUCCUGCUGUAUGCCCAUCCCGCUGGACGCCGGCUCACACAUCGCAGACCACCUGAUCGUCAUCCUGAUCGGCUUCCCGGAGCAGUCCAAGACGUCAGUGCUGCACAUGUGUUCGCUCUUCCACGCCUUCAUGUUCGCUCAGCUGUGGACGGUGUACUGUGAGCAGGCGUCCACCGCUCCCUCCAGCCAGAACCAGAACCAGAACCAGAGCGAGCUGUGCAGCGGAGCCCUGCUCACCGGCCUGGAGUUCUGGAGCCGCGUCACACCCAGCAUACUGCAGCUCAUGGCACACAACAGAGUGAUGGUGGAGAUGGUGUGUCUGCAUGUCAUCAGCCUGAUGGAGGCGCUGCAGGAGUGUAACUCCACCAUCUUUGUUAAGGUAGGAGACCCUCUGCAUCAGUGUCUGUCUAAAUGCUGAUGUGUGUGUGUAUAAUAGACAUUCAGUGUGUGUGUGUGUGUGUGUGUGUGUGUGCGUAUAAUAGACAUUCAGUGUGUGUGUGUGUGCGAGUGUGUGUGUGUGUGUGUGUGUGUGUGUGUGUGUGUGUGUGAGUGUGUGUGUGUGUGAGUGUGUUUGGUGUUGUAACGUCUUCUUCUCCUGUGUUCAGCUGAUCCCCAUGUGGCUGCCGAUGAUCCAGUCUAACCUGAAUGUAAGUGUUGAUCACAGCGCUGCUCCUGCUCUGCUCCACAGUCACAUGUUGAAGCAUCACUCCACUCCUCAUGCUCAUUUACAGCUCCUCUAGAGGCACACAGAUCAGUCUGACCAUGUCUGAGUCCAUUCAGCUGAUCUCUGGGUCUGGUGGAGCGCUUUUAGCUUAGCUUAGCAUAAAUCAUUGAAUCGGAUUAGACCAUUAGCACCCAAAAAUGAACAUUCUGUCAUUAUUUACUGGCCUUUAACUUGUUUCAAACCUUUAUGAGUCUCUUUUUUAUAUGUUAAGCACAAAAGAAGAUAUUUUGAAGAAUGCGGAAAACCUGUAACCAUUGACUUCUGUGAUAUUUGUUUUUCCUGCUGUGGAGGUCAAUGGUUACCGGUUUUCAGCUUUCUCAGAAUAUCANNNNNNNNNNNNNNNNNNNNNNNNNNNNNNNNNNNNNNNNNNNNNNNNNNNNNNNNNNNNNNNNNNNNNNNNNNNNNNNNNNNNNNNNNNNNNNNNNNNNGCAGAUUUUAACUCAAAUAAACAAGAGGCUUUUUAUUAAACGAGCAUUAGUUUGAGUGUGUGUUUGUGUCCUGAAAUCAUUUAUUGUAAACACACACUCACCGGCCACUUUAUUAGGUACACCUGUCUAACUGCUCACUAACGCACAUGUUUAAUCAGCCAAUCACAGGGCAGCAGCUCACUGCAUUUAGGCAUGUAGACAUGAUCAAGAGGAUCUGCUGCAGGUCAGAGCGAGCAUCAGAAUGGGGAAGAAAGGGGAUUUAAGAGACUCUGAACGUGGCAUGGUUGUUAUUUCAGAAACUGCUGAUCUACUGGGAUUUUCACGCACAACCAUCUCUAGAGUUUACAGAGAAUGCUCCGACAAACAGGAAAUAUGUGGUGGAACAGGAGAUUGGCAUCAUGGAUGUGCAGCCGACAAAUCUGCAGCAACUGUGUGAUGCUAUCAUGACAAUAUGGAGCAAAAUCUCUGAGGAAUAUCUCCAGCAGCUUGUUGAAUCUACAACACCGAGGAUUAAGGCAGUUCUGAAGGAAAAAGAGGGUCCAACCCGGUGCUAGUGAAGUGUACCUAAUAAAGUGGCCGGUGUGUGUGUGUGUGUGAUGAACUCCCACUGCUGAGACGCAGCAUCUGUCUGAGCUCUGCUGCCGUGUGUGUUUGAACUCAAAGGUCUUUCAGAAGCUCCUCAUUAAAGCCGCUCAUAUCAUCAUCAUCAUCAUCAUCAGCAGCAGCAGCAGCAGAGGAUCCACCAUGAUCAGUCCAGUGUUCUUACAAUAUUGAUCAUCUCCAAUAAUGCAGCAGACACGAGAUGUAGCCUGACCCUGUGAGCAUGUGUGAAUCAUCAACAGACACAGGUUAGUUUAGCCUCUGUAUUUACAGUCAUGCAUCAUUCAUACAUCAGCUUACACAUGUGGACUGAUGUACACGGCAGAAAUGCUGCGUUUGGGUCUUGUUUCUAGGCUAAAUGUCCACAAACUCUGAAAUCAGUCAGCAUUUUCUGGACAAGCAACAAUAUGGUCUUGUUUUCAGAAAUAAAUGAAGAGUUUUACCUUAAAACAAGCAAAAUAAUCUGACAAUGGGGGAAGACAGAUGCCUAUUUGCUUUCAAAUAACAUUAUUUAAAUGAGAAGCUCGCUGAACUUUCUGAAAACAGGACUAUCUGCUGUGCUUGUCUAGAAAAUGCUGACGGAUUUCAGAAUGUUGAGAUAUUUGGACUAGAGACAAGGCAAAACCAUAAAGAAAGGCAUUCUUCAGUGUGUUCUGUAGUAUUGUGUCUACUGUUGAUAUAUAUUGCACAUGUAAAUCACGCUGCACUGCAUCACUAUCCUGCAGAGUGUUCACCUGCUCUCCGUUUCUCCUCGUCCUCCAGCAGGUUGCAGUGCAUUAGAGUCCGUCGGUCGGCCAUAUUGGAGAGCAGAAGGUAAACAAACCCACUGAACCCAACAGAACUGUUUCACUGAGCUGAUCACUGCUGCAGAAACGGAUCAGUUAUAGAGAUGUUCUGGGCUGUGCUCAUCGCUCAGUUCGACUAUUACAGGAAGUGAAAAUAAAGGAAAAGAGCAGCGGGAGGAACUACACCUACUUCAUCUGCACACUAUGAUCUUCCUCACAGCAAACACCUGAGGAGAUGACAGACUCGUGAGCUCCAGAUGAACCCUCUGCUGCUGAAUCUAUAAUAUAGUGUCUAUAAUAACAGAGCGCUCCAUCAAUGAGGAGGUAGCUUGUCCCAAAGCUUGAACACUCUGGAGGUUCUCUUCCCAUCAGCAAUAGAGAUGAUCAGCAGCAGUGUACGUCCGUGUCAGACAGCUGCACUGCUGCUCUUCCUGAUGGAGAUGGACUCCUCCGCUGUCUGCUUCUUCAGGGGUUUCCUGCACAUCACAGUGAAUACAGCUUCAUUAGGGCUCUGCAAUAUGCAAUAUCUCUGUGUAAGUUAUUUCGUGAUGUCCCAGCAUACACUGUUCAUCAUUAAUAUGAGCGCAGUAAAGCACUGUGUUCACACUGAGCAAGUGAUCUAGCGGUAUCAGAUGUGGACGCUGUUCAUUUUUGGCAUUUCAUUAGUGUUUAUGUUACAUUAUUUUACAUGUUUAAUCAAACAUUUACCCUGAAGCUGGAAAUAAAGAGGGAAAUAUGAACUCAUAUGUAUGAGGAUGUUUCUAUAACUACACUCAUGACUCUACAUCACAUGUGGCCAAUAUCAUCUAUUGAAUGACUGGAUUAUCAGCAUGUGUCCUAUACUGGUAUAUAGCAUUAUCAGGAUAGCAGCUAUCUGUCAUAUCGCCCAGCCCUAAGUGUUAUUUAUAGUAGUGUUGGCUCAACAUUUAAUAUAUUACUUUAUUUUAAGCCUUGUUUAUUAUUAAAAACAAAACAAAUACAACACAUGCGUGCACACUAAUUUCCUUAAAGGGAAACCAAGAGAACUCGUGUUUACUUUCUUAUUUUUUAGUUUUAAGUGAUUUUGAUCAUAAUAUAUUACGUUUUCCCCAACGCUGAUCAUUAUUGACCUGACACACACACACACACACACACACACACACACACACACACACACACAGACAGAGAGAGAGGAGAGCAGGGAGAGCGCUGUGUUCUGCAGUGCUUAUAUUUAGGCUGAUUGUGUUUCUGCAGUGAAGCGGGCCGUGCGGGUCUGAAUGAGGCUUUAUUCUGACUGUAUAUCUGUGCUGGACUGCCGGAAGCUGCAUUACUGACAGUCAGAGCAUCAGGAAAAUAACAUUACAUAAUCAGCAGAUUCCCUGGAUAGACCAGCGCUCCUUCAGCUGCGGAGGAUCAGACAUCAUCUGCUGGAGAUCUGCUUUAUAGCCAGCAUCAAGCCGAGGAUCUGAGUGAAACGGUCCUGAAAUGAGGGAAAGAUGUAGCGCAGUGCUGGAUUUACUUCUUGGAUUGUUGAAUUUGAGUGGCUCACAAAAUAAGGACGAUUGAUGAAUGGAUGAGGGCGAACAGAAACAGGACACACACUGAUAGCUCCUCCCUAAAGAAUGAUAGCUCCGCCCUAAAGCACUGAUAGCUCCUCCCUAAAGCACUGAUAGCUCCUCCCUAAAGAGCUGAUAGCUCCGCCCUAAAUGAUUGAUAGCUCCACCCUAAAGGACUGAUAGCUUUUCCCUAAAGCUCUGAUAGCUCCGCCCUAAAGGUCUAAUAGCUCUUCCCUAAAGGUUUAAUAGCUCCGCCCUAAAGGACUGAUAGCUCCUGCAGCGCUGUAGACUGACACCUGCUGGACACAAUAAAGAAUACACAAAAAACAGCACAAUCCACACACACACACACUGAUCAUUAGCGCUCCUCUGUGUGUGUGUGUGUGUGUGUGUGU